rnacentral:rRNA from 1 species
UGACACAUGCAAGUCGGGCGGUGAACCCUGUCUUAUGAUGGGGGGAUCAGCGGCGGACGGGUGCGUAACACGUGGGCAACCUGUCCCAAAGUGGGGGACAACCAUUCGAAAGGAUGGCUAAUACCGCAUGUGCUCGGCAAACUUCGGUUUGUCGAGUAAAGGUCGGUGCUUCGGUACUGGCCGCUUUGGGAGGGGCCCGCGGCCUAUCAGGUAGUUGGUGAGGUAACGGCUCACCAAGCCGAUGACGGGUAGGGGGCGUGAGAGCGUGGCCCCCCACACGGGAACUGAGACACGGUCCCGACGCCUACGGGCGGCAGCAGUGAGGAAUCUUGCGCAAUGGGCGAAAGCCUGACGCAGCGACGCCGCGUGGGGGAUGAAGGCCGUGAGGUCGUAAACCCCUUUUCUGGGGGACGAGGAAGGACGGUACCCCAGGAAUAAGUCCCGGCUAACUACGUGCCAGCAGCCGCGGUAAUACGUAGGGGGCGAGCGUUAUCCGGAUUUACUGGGCGUAAAGCGCGCGCAGGCGGCCAUGUAAGUCGAGCGUGAAAGCUCCCGGCUCAACUGGGAGAGGUCGUUCGAUACUGCGUGGCUUGAGGUCGGGAGAGGAGAGUGGAAUUCCCGGUGUAGCGGUGAAAUGCGCAGAUAUCGGGAGGAACACCAGUGGCGAAGGCGGCUCUCUGGCCCGUACCUGACGCUCAGGCGCGAAAGCGUGGGGAGCGAAGGGGAUUAGAUACCCCCGUAGUCCACGCCCUAAACGAUGGGUGCUAGGUGUGGGUGGUUUAAAAGCCAUCCGUGCCGUAGCUAACGCGUUAAGCACCCCGCCUGGGGAGUACGGCCGCAAGGCUAAAACUCAAAGGAAUUGACGGGGGCCCGCACAAGCGGCGGAGCGUGUGGUUUAAUUCGAUGCAACGCGAAGAACCUUACCUGGGCUUGACAUGCCGGUAGUAGCGACUCGAAAGAGGAGCGAGCCCUUCGGGGCAGCCGGCACAGGUGCUGCAUGGCUGUCGUCAGCUCGUGCCGUGAGGUGUUGGGUUAAGUCCCGCAACGAGCGCAACCCUCGCCCCUAGUUACAUGUGUCUAGGGGGACUGCCGGCGACAAGCCGGAGGAAGGUGGGGAUGACGUCAAGUCAGCAUGGCCUUUAUGUCCAGGGCGACACACACGCUACAAUGGCCGGUACAAUGGGUUGCCAACCCGUGAGGGGGAGCUAAUCCCAAAAAGCCGGUCUCAGUUCGGAUUGCAGGCUGCAACCCGCCUGCAUGAAGUCGGAGUCGCUAGUAACCGUGGGUCAGCCAUACCGCGGUGAAUACGUUCCCGGGCCUUGUACACACCGCCCGUCACGUCAUGGGAGCCGGCAACACCUGAAGACGGUAGCCUAACCCGAAAGGGAGGGCGCCGUCCAAGGUGGGGUCGGUGACUGGGACGAAGUCGUAACAAGGUAACC